AAGCAGUAGGGAGAGAGGUGUUCUGGGGCUGGAGAGAAGCGAUGUGUGGUGAGCAAGUUUGUGGCACUUCGGGGUAGAAAAGGAGGACUUUGAGGAGCAGGUGCUGGUCUGCUCUACUGAGCACGAGUUUGGAGCUCUGCCUGCUGAAGACAUGGAGCAAAAUCUUGUAGCUUCACUUCCCUGAUAGGCUGGUGGGCUCUACCUUGUUUCCUGAUGACUGUAUUAACUGUGCUCAACUAGUUCUUCCUACAACACUUCUUUCAAACCUGUGGGGGAAAAGCCAAUGUGAUAAAACAACAAAUGAUCACAGUAGAGGAUGAGUGACCUUACAGAACGAAUUCUGGCUUUUCUGCAAGCUUCAGAGCCUCGUGCAUGCCUGCGGCUGAGAGCUUGCGGUUGAUGUUCCUGUAUCUGCACUGCAGCAGGUUGCGGUAGGUUGUCCUCAGGUCCCGGUUAAAGAAGGCAUAGAUAAAAGGGUUAAUGAGAGAGUUUGCAUAGCCCAGCCACAGAAAUGUUCUCUCCACCCAGAGUGGGAUGCAGCUGCACGCUGUACCACAGAUGAAGGGCCUUGCAGU